rnacentral:rRNA from 1 species
AGCGAACGCUGGCGGCAGGCCUAACACAUGCAAGUCGAACGAACUCUUCGGAGUUAGUGGCGGACGGGUGCGUAACACGUGGGAACGUGCCUUUAGGUUCGGAAUAACUCAGGGAAACUUGUGCUAAUACCGAAUGUGCCCUUCGGGGGAAAGAUUUAUCGCCUUUAGAGCGGCCCGCGUCUGAUUAGCUAGUUGGUGAGGUAAAGGCUCACCAAGGCGACGAUCAGUAGCUGGUCUGAGAGGAUGAUCAGCCACAUUGGGACUGAGACACGGCCCAAACUCCUACGGGAGGCAGCAGUGGGGAAUCUUGCGAAAUGGGCGAAAGCCUGACGCAGCCAUGCCGGGUGAAUGAUGAAGGUCUUAGGAUUGUAAAAUUCUUUAACCGGGGACGAUAAUGACGGUACCCGGAGAAGAAGCCCCGGCUAACUUCGUG